GUCGAACGAUGAUCUCCAGCUUGCUGGGGGGAUUAGUGGCGAACGGGUGAGUAACACGUGAGUAACCUGCCCUUGACUCUGGGAUAAGCCUGGGAAACUGGGUCUAAUACCGGAUACGACCGUCCCGCGCAUGCGGUGGUGGUGGAAAGCUUUUGCGGUUUUGGAUGGACUCGCGGCCUAUCAGCUUGUUGGUGGGGUAAUGGCCUACCAAGGCGACGACGGGUAGCCGGCCUGAGAGGGUGACCGGCCACACUGGGACUGAGACACGGCCCAGACUCCUACGGGAGGCAGCAGUGGGGAAUAUUGCACAAUGGGCGAAAGCCUGAUGCAGCGACGCCGCGUGAGGGAUGACGGCCUUCGGGUUGUAAACCUCUUUCAGUAGGGAAGAAGCGAAAGUGACGGUACCUGCAGAAGAAGCGCCGGCUAACUACGUGCCAGCAGCCGCGGUAAUACGUAGGGCGCAAGCGUUAUCCGGAAUUAUUGGGCGUAAAGAGCUCGUAGGCGGUUUGUCGCGUCUGCUGUGAAAGACCGGGGCUCAACUCCGGUUCUGCAGUGGGUACGGGCAGACUAGAGUGAUGUAGGGGAGACUGGAAUUCCUGGUGUAGCGGUGAAAUGCGCAGAUAUCAGGAGGAACACCGAUGGCGAAGGCAGGUCUCUGGGCAUUAACUGACGCUGAGGAGCGAAAGCAUGGGGAGCGAACAGGAUUAGAUACCCUGGUAGUCCAUGCCGUAAACGUUGGGCACUAGGUGUGGGGGACAUUCCACGUUUUCCGCGCCGUAGCUAACGCAUUAAGUGCCCCGCCUGGGGAGUACGGCCG
rnacentral:rRNA from 1 species